CCCCCAGUGAGCUCUGCUGACCUGUGUUAGCACCCAGAAGGGACAGCGAAGGUGCGUGUGUCAGGGCAUGGCGUGCCUUGGAGUCUUACUCAGUACUUCUUUCUCCCUGCAGGCCCAUGGUUGACUCCCCAGACACUGCUGGCACGCCUGUUGGUGGUGGCAGGGAGCCCUGUUGCAGGCAGCAAUCUCCAAGCCGCUGCCUUACUGCUCCUGCAAAAGCUCCACAGCAGGAUCCACAGAGCUGUGGGGGCCAUGUGGGAUGCGGAGAUCCCCUUGCUGCUGCAGUGUGUCCAAGGGAAAGAAGAGAGCUUCCCGGACUCUGCAGCAUGGGAACACCGACUGCUAAAGUUCCUGAGGGCAUCACUGGAGACCAUGGAGGAUGAGGCUUGGACGAAGGGACUGAGCUGUGAGCUGAGCCGGUAUCUGAGCAGCUCUCCCAGCAGCUCUGGAGAAAAGGUGAGUUCCCCCCAGCUCUAUCCAGCAGAGCAGCCACAGGUGCCCAAGUGGUGGGCGGUGCUAAAGCUCAGCCCUGCAGCUGCUCUCAGCAAUUCCCAGGGAGUGUGGGUCCUUCCCACCUGGCUCUGUCUGAGCAGGUCAGGCUGCUGCCA
rnacentral:lncRNA from 1 species